rnacentral:rRNA from 1 species
AGCGCAGGCGGGCGAUCAAGUUGGAAGUGAAAUCCAUGGGCUCAACCCAUGAACUGCUUUCAAAACUGGUCGUCUUGAGUAGUGCAGAGGUAGGCGGAAUUCCCGGUGUAGCGGUGGAAUGCGUAGAUAUCGGGAGGAACACCAGUGGCGAAGGCGGCCUACUGGGCACCAACUGACGCUGAGGCUCGAAAGUGUGGGUAGCAAACA